GCCCGGGUGGUGGAAUAGGUAGACACAAGGGACUUAAAAUCCCUCGCCGCAAGGCGUGCCGGUUCGAGUCCGGUCCCGGGCA
rnacentral:tRNA from 1 species